CAAUGCGGAACAAUGUUUUGCAAUUGGAUUGAGAACAACGUACAAACCUUAUCGAUAAACAAUUGGAGGGCAAGUCUGGUGCCAGCAGCCGCGGUAAUUCCAGCUCCAAUAGCGUAUAUUAACGUUGUUGCAGUUAAAAAGCUCGUAGUUGAAAUGAAGGGUAGUUGUGUAAUGAAUACAUUCGUGUAUUUUGUUAUUCUACUACCCUCCUUCUAAAUUCGAUAUAUGAGUAUUAAUUUACUUGUAUAUGGUUUUAGACBUUUACUGUGAGAAAAUUAGAGUGUUCAAAGCAGGCAUUUGCUUGAAUAUAUUAGCAUGGAAUAAUCAUGUAUGAUUUUCAUGAUGUAUUUGAUUGGUUUGGUUCAUGAGAAUAAGAUUAAAAGGGACAGUUGGGGGUAUUCAUAUUCAAUAGUCAGAGGUGAAAUUCUCGGAUUUAUGGAAGAUGAACAAGUGCGAAAGCAUUUACCAAGGAUGUUUUCAUUAAUCAAGAACGAAAGUUAGG
rnacentral:rRNA from 1 species